rnacentral:rRNA from 1 species
GACGAACGCUGGCGGCAUGCCUAACACAUGCAAGUCGAACGAGACCUUCGGGUCUAGUGGCGCACGGGUGCGUAACGCGUGGGAACCUGCCCUUGGGUUCGGAAUAACUCCCCGAAAGGGGUGCUAAUAACGGAUAAUGUCUUCGGACCAAAGAUUUAUCGCCUUUGGAUGGGCCCGCGUUGGAUUAGCUAGUUGGUAGGGUAAAAGCCUACCAAGGCGACGAUCCAUAGCUGGUCUGAGAGGAUGAUCCGCCACACUGGGGCUGAGGCACGGCCCAGACUCCUACGGGAGGCAGCAGUGGGGAAUAUUGGACGAUGGGCGAAAGCCUGAUCCAGCCAUGCCGCGUGAGUGAUGAAGGCCUUAGGGUUGUAAAGCUCUUUUACCCGGGAUGAUAAUGACAGUACCGGGAGAAUAAGCUCCGGCUAACUCCGUG